rnacentral:miRNA from 1 species
UGGGUGGUGCAGUUAUGUGUGUGUGUGUGUGUGUGUGUGUGUGUACACACACACACACACACACACACACACACACUUCAUCAUUACCUG